AGUUUGAUCCUGGCUCAGGAUGAACGCUAGCGACAGGCUUAACACAUGCAAGUCGAGGGGCAGCGGGGGAUAAGCUUGCUUUUCCUGCCGGCGACCGGCGCACGGGUGAGUAACACGUAUCCAACCUGCCCAUCACUUGGGGAUAACCUUGCGAAAGUAAGACUAAUACCCAAUGAUAUCUCUAGAAGACAUCUGAAGGAGAUUAAAGAUUUAUCGGUGAUGGAUGGGGAUGCGUCUGAUUAGCUUGUUGGCGGGGUAACGGCCCACCAAGGCGACGAUCAGUAGGGGUUCUGAGAGGAAGGUCCCCCACAUUGGAACUGAGACACGGUCCAAACUCCUACGGGAGGCAGCAGUGAGGAAUAUUGGUCAAUGGACGAGAGUCUGAACCAGCCAAGUAGCGUGCAGGAUGACGGCCCUAUGGGUUGUAAACUGCUUUUAUAAGGGAAUAAAGUGAGCUACGUGUAGCUUUUUGCAUGUACCUUAUGAAUAAGGACCGGCUAAUUCCGUGCCAGCAGCCGCGGUAAUACGGAAGGUCCGGGCGUUAUCCGGAUUUAUUGGGUUUAAAGGGUGCGUAGGCUGUGCGUCAAGUCGGGGGUGAAAUUCCGGUGCUCAACACCGGGGCUGCCCUUGAUACUGUCGCGCUGGAGUGCGGAUGCCGCCGGAGGAAUGAGUGGUGUAGCGGUGAAAUGCUUAGAUAUCACUCAGAACACCGAUUGCGAAGGCAUCUGGCGAAUCCGUAACCGACGCUGAGGCACGAAAGUGUGGGGAUAGAACAGGAUUAGAUACCCUGGUAUUCCACGCCGUAAACGAUGAUGGCUAACCGCCGGCGACACACUGUCGGUGGCCAAGCGAAAGCGAUAAGCCAUCCACCUGGGGAGUACGUCGGCAACGAUGAAACUCAAAGGAAUUGACGGGGGCCCGCACAAGCGGAGGAACAUGUGGUUUAAUUCGAUGAUACGCGAGGAACCUUACCCGGGCUCGAACGGCACCUGGAUUGCCCAGAGACGGGCGAGUCUUCGGACAGGUGUCGAGGUGCUGCAUGGUUGUCGUCAGCUCGUGCCGUGAGGUGUCGGCUCAAGUGCCAUAACGAGCGCAACCCUUGCCGCCAGUUGCCAUCAGGUGAUGCUGGGCACUCUGGCGGGACUGCCACCGCAAGGUGUGAGGAGGGGGGGGAUGACGUCAAAUCAGCACGGCCCUUACGUCCGGGGCGACACACGUGUUACAAUGGCGGCCACAGAGGGAUGCUACCCCGCGAGGGGAUGCGGAUCUCGAAAAGCCGUCCCAGUUCGGACUGGAGUCUGCAACCCGACUCCACGAAGUUGGAUUCGCUAGUAAUCGCGCAUCAGCCAUGGCGCGGUGAAUACGUUCCCGGGCCUUGUACACACCGCCCGUCAAG
rnacentral:rRNA from 1 species